rnacentral:rRNA from 1 species
UGAGGAAUAUUGGUCAAUGGGCGCGAGCCUGAACCAGCCAAGUAGCGUGAAGGAUGAAGGUCCUACGGAUUGUAAACUUCUUUUAUAAGGGAAUAAAGUCACCCACGUGUGGGUGUUUGUAUGUACCUUAUGAAUAAGGAUCGGCUAACUCCGUGCCAGCAGCCGCGGUAAUACGGAGGAUGCGAGCGUUAUCCGGAUUUAUUGGGUUUAAAGGGAGCGUAGACGGGUCGUUAAGUCAGCUGUGAAAGUUUGGGGCUCAACCUUAAAAUUGCAGUUGAUACUGGAGUCCUUGAGUACGGUUGAGGCAGGCGGAAUUCGUGGUGUAGCGGUGAAAUGCUUAGAUAUCACGAAGAACCCCGAUUGCGAAGGCAGCCUGCUAAACCGCCACUGACGUUGAGGCUCGAAAGUGUGGGUAUCAAACAGGAUUAGAUACCCUGGUAGUCCACACGGUAAACGAUGGAUACUCGCUGUUGGCGAUAGACUGUCAGCGGCUUAGCGAAAGCGUUAAGUAUCCCACCUGGGGAGUACGCCGGCAACGGUGAAACUCAAAGGAAUUGACGGGGGCCCGCACAAGCGGAGGAACAUGUGGUUUAAUUCGAUGAUACGCGAGGAACCUUACCCGGGCUUGAAUUGCAGACGAAUUGCUUGGAAACAGGCAAGCCGCAAGGCGUCUGUGAAGGUGCUGCAUGGUUGUCGUCAGCUCGUGCCGUGAGGUGUCGGCUUAAGUGCCAUAACGAGCGCAACCCUCGUGUCCAGUUACUAGCAGGUUAUGCUGAGGACUCUGGCCAGACUGCCAUCGUAAGAUGUGAGGAAGGUGGGGAUGACGUCAAAUCAGCACGGCCCUUACGUCCGGGGCUACACACGUGUUACAAUGGGGGGUACAGCAGGCAGCUACCGGGCGACCGGAUGCCAAUCCCCAAAGCCUCUCUCAGUUCGGACUGGAGUCUGCAACCCGACUCCACGAAGCUGGAUUCGCUAGUAAUCGCGCAUCAGCCACGGCGCGGUGAAUACGUUCCC